rnacentral:rRNA from 1 species
GGUUAAGCGACUAAGCGUACACGGUGGAUGCCCUGGCAGUCAGAGGCGAUGAAGGACGUGCUAAUCUGCGAUAAGCGUCGGUAAGGUGAUAUGAACCGUUAUAACCGGCGAUUUCCGAAUGGGGAAACCCAGUGUGAUUCGUCACACUAUCAUUAACUGAAUCCAUAGGUUAAUGAGGCGAACCGGGGGAACUGAAACAUCUAAGUACCCCGAGGAAAAGAAAUCAACCGAGAUUCCCCAAGUAGCGGCGAGCGAACGGGGAGCAGCCCAGAGCCUGAAUCAGUGUGUGUGUUAGUGGAAGCGUCUGGAAAGGCGCGCGAUACAGGGUGACAGCCCCGUACACAAAAAUGCACAUACUGUGAGCUCGAUGAGUAGGGCGGGACACGUGGUAUCCUGUCUGAAUAUGGGGGGGACCAUCCUCCAAGGCUAAAUACUCCUGACUGACCGAUAGUGAACCAGUACCGUGAGGGAAAGGCGAAAAGAACCCCGGCGAGGGGAGUGAAAAAGAACCUGAAACCGUGUACGUACAAGCAGUGGGAGCACGCUUAGGCGUGUGACUGCGUACCUUUUGUAUAAUGGGUCAGCGACUUAUAUUCUGUAGCAAGGUUAACCGAAUAGGGGAGCCGAAGGGAAACCGAGUCUUAACUGGGCGUUAAGUUGCAGGGUAUAGACCCGAAACCCGGUGAUCUAGCCAUGGGCAGGUUGAAGGUUGGGUAACACUAACUGGAGGACCGAACCGACUAAUGUUGAAAAAUUAGCGGAUGACUUGUGGCUGGGGGUGAAAGGCCAAUCAAACCGGGAGAUAGCUGGUUCUCCCCGAAAGCUAUUUAGGUAGCGCCUCGUGAAUUCAUCUCCGGGGGUAGAGCACUGUUUCGGCAAGGGGGUCAUCCCGACUUACCAACCCGAUGCAAACUGCGAAUACCGGAGAAUGUUAUCACGGGAGACACACGGCGGGUGCUAACGUCCGUCGUGAAGAGGGAAACAACCCAGACCGCCAGCUAAGGUCCCAAAGUCAUGGUUAAGUGGGAAACGAUGUGGGAAGGCCCAGACAGCCAGGAUGUUGGCUUAGAAGCAGCCAUCAUUUAAAGAAAGCGUAAUAGCUCACUGGUCGAGUCGGCCUGCGCGGAAGAUGUAACGGGGCUAAACCAUGCACCGAAGCUGCGGCAGCGACGCUUAUGCGUUGUUGGGUAGGGGAGCGUUCUGUAAGCCUGUGAAGGUGUGCUGUGAGGCAUGCUGGAGGUAUCAGAAGUGCGAAUGCUGACAUAAGUAACGAUAAAGCGGGUGAAAAGCCCGCUCGCCGGAAGACCAAGGGUUCCUGUCCAACGUUAAUCGGGGCAGGGUGAGUCGACCCCUAAGGCGAGGCCGAAAGGCGUAGUCGAUGGGAAACAGGUUAAUAUUCCUGUACUUGGUGUUACUGCGAAGGGGGGACGGAGAAGGCUAUGUUGGCCGGGCGACGGUUGUCCCGGUUUAAGCGUGUAGGCUGGUUUUCCAGGCAAAUCCGGAAAAUCAAGGCUGAGGCGUGAUGACGAGGCACUACGGUGCUGAAGCAACAAAUGCCCUGCUUCCAGGAAAAGCCUCUAAGCAUCAGGUAACAUCAAAUCGUACCCCAAACCGACACAGGUGGUCAGGUAGAGAAUACCAAGGCGCUUGAGAGAACUCGGGUGAAGGAACUAGGCAAAAUGGUGCCGUAACUUCGGGAGAAGGCACGCUGAUAUGUAGGUGAAGUCCCUCGCGGAUGGAGCUGAAAUCAGUCGAAGAUACCAGCUGGCUGCAACUGUUUAUUAAAAACACAGCACUGUGCAAACACGAAAGUGGACGUAUACGGUGUGACGCCUGCCCGGUGCCGGAAGGUUAAUUGAUGGGGUCAGCGCAAGCGAAGCUCUUGAUCGAAGCCCCGGUAAACGGCGGCCGUAACUAUAACGGUCCUAAGGUAGCGAAAUUCCUUGUCGGGUAAGUUCCGACCUGCACGAAUGGCGUAAUGAUGGCCAGGCUGUCUCCACCCGAGACUCAGUGAAAUUGAACUCGCUGUGAAGAUGCAGUGUACCCGCGGCAAGACGGAAAGACCCCGUGAACCUUUACUAUAGCUUGACACUGAACAUUGAGCCUUGAUGUGUAGGAUAGGUGGGAGGCUUAGAAGUGUGGACGCCAGUCUGCAUGGAGCCGACCUUGAAAUACCACCCUUUAAUGUUUGAUGUUCUAACGUUGACCCGUAAUCCGGGUUGCGGACAGUGUCUGGUGGGUAGUUUGACUGGGGCGGUCUCCUCCUAAAGAGUAACGGAGGAGCACGAAGGUUGGCUAAUCCUGGUCGGACAUCAGGAGGUUAGUGCAAUGGCAUAAGCCAGCUUGACUGCGAGCGUGACGGCGCGAGCAGGUGCGAAAGCAGGUCAUAGUGAUCCGGUGGUUCUGAAUGGAAGGGCCAUCGCUCAACGGAUAAAAGGUACUCCGGGGAUAACAGGCUGAUACCGCCCAAGAGUUCAUAUCGACGGCGGUGUUUGGCACCUCGAUGUCGGCUCAUCACAUCCUGGGGCUGAAGUAGGUCCCAAGGGUAUGGCUGUUCGCCAUUUAAAGUGGUACGCGAGCUGGGUUUAGAACGUCGUGAGACAGUUCGGUCCCUAUCUGCCGUGGGCGCUGGAGAACUGAGGGGGGCUGCUCCUAGUACGAGAGGACCGGAGUGGACGCAUCACUGGUGUUCGGGUUGUCAUGCCAAUGGCACUGCCCGGUAGCUAAAUGCGGAAGAGAUAAGUGCUGAAAGCAUCUAAGCACGAAACUUGCCCCGAGAUGAGUUCUCCCUGACCCUUUAAGGGUCCUGAAGGAACGUUGAAGACGACGACGUUGAUAGGCCGGGUGUGUAAGCGCAGCGAUGCGUUGAGCUAACCGGUACUAAUGAACCGUGAGGCUUAACCUU